rnacentral:rRNA from 1 species
UACGGAGGGUGCAAGCGUUAAUCGGAAUUACUGGGCGUAAAGCGUGCGCAGGCGGUUUGUUAAGUCCGUUGUGAAAGCCCCGAGCUCAACUUGGGAAUUGCAGUGGAUACUGGCAGGCUGGAGUACGGUAGAGGAAGGUGGAAUUCCCGGUGUAGCAGUGAAAUGCGUAGAUAUCGGGAGGAACACCAGUGGCGAAGGCGGCUCACUGGCCCGGUACUGACGCUGAGGUGCGAAAGCGUGGGGAGCAAACAGG